UUAUGAACUUUCAUUAUAAAACUGACCUGAGUUCACCUAAACUUAUUAGACACUGGUCAUGUGAUCAACUCCCCCUAGUGGUGAACCAUCGGAUUUUCGAAACGUUUCGAAACAGUUAUGACGUAACGAAGCCUCGUUUGCUAAAAUCACGUGACUUUGGCCAGUUUGAAACAAGCUCCGAACCACUGAUUCGAAACAAAAGAUUCGUAAAUGUUUCGAAGCCUCAUGAAGCAGUGCUUCGAAAACGACCAUCACUACAUUACGAGGUCAUGUACACUGUGGUCAACUUUGUGGACGAUGAAGAGGUUUCUGGGUAAAGAUGAUAGAAAUAUAACGAAGUAACAGUGGAAGCUAAAACAUCAGACUGCUCUAGACACUGAAGAAAUUGAUGUCACUGCAAUCUGGCCAAAAUGAUACAACAAUAUUGAACUAGCCUACUGUAAUGAAGCUGCAGAACAACACAGAGACUCUGAGGACAUCAACACAGAAAAUGAAGGCUCCAAAGAGAUGUCUGUCCAGAUGAGGGUGCAUCAACUUUACCUUUGCUGACAACAGUUAACUUAACUCAAACCAUUUAAGGAAAUCGGUUGCCUUAAACCAUUAAGUUUUAAAAAACAUACAUUUGAGUACUGUGAACUUAAGUCUUGUGCAAUUAUGCACUUAUAUUUAGGUAGUGUGAACUUAAAUAUAAGUGCAUAACUGCAUGUGACUCAAUUUUUUUAAGUUCACAGUACUCAAAUCUAUGUGUUUUAAAACUUGAAUGGUUUAAUGCAACCGGUUUUCUUAAAUGUGAGAAAUGACAGUGUUACAGUGAGAAAUGUUUGAUUAAUUCCAAGACAGAGCUCUGCUAUUGAAUCUACACUGCAAAAAAUCACUUUCUAACUUAGGAUUUUUAUCUUGUUUUCAGUAGAAAAACUAAAAAUUCUUAAAUCAAGAUGUAUUUUCUUGAUGAGCAAAAUUACCUUAGAAAAUAUGUGUAGUUUUUAGACAAAAAUAUACAAUUUAAGUAAAUUUGUGCCUAAACAAGCAAAAAUAUCUUAACAGUGGAGUGAGAAAAUUGUGCUUAAAUUAAGUUUUUAUGAAAAAAGACAACGUAAGAUUUUUUUUCUCACACCAUUGGCAGAUAUUUUUGCUUGUUUUAAGCACAAAUUCACUUAAAGUGUGUGUGUGUUUAUUUAUUUUGUCUAAAACUAGACUUAUUUUCUUAGGUCAUUUUGUUCAUCAAGAAAAAGCAUUUUAAUUUAAAUAAUAUUUCUACUAAAAACAAGACAAUAAUACUAUGUAAGAGUCAUUUUUUGCAGUGUAGGACUGAUUUCUUGAAGCAAGAUCAAUAUAGUUGUUGUUCAUUUUAUUUAGAUAUUUACUACAUUACAGUGGCAGCUGGUGACUUGUGUUUUGUGAGCACUUGAUGCGAAGUUUGUCACAACAUGUAUACAGCCCGUCAUUUGUGUGGUUCCCAAUUUCAAAAUAUGUGUUCUGCGUGUCGAGUGCGUGUAUGUGCAUCACGUGUUUUGACUAAACACGUGAUGCACAUGGUUUACAUGAAGCAACAAAAACAUUUUAAAAACACAAGCAACACACAUGACACUCCGAACUAUGAGGGGGCCGUACAAGCCAAAAUUCAUUCUGGCACUCUCACUCACAUACAUUCUUCUUUCACACACAUACAUCCUCCUUUUACACACAUACAUCCUCCCUUCACUUACAUACAUUUUCCUUUCACUUAUAUACAUUUCUACUCUCUCACACACAUAUAUUCUCCUUUUACACACAUACAUUCUUCUUUCACACACAUACAUUCUUCUUUCACAUACAUACAUUUCUACACUCUCACACACAUACAUUCUGCUUUCAUACGCAAACAUUCUCCCUUCACAUACAUACAUACAUUUCUACUUUCUCACAAACACAUACAUUCUCCUUUCACAUACAUAUAUUUUUACUCUCACACACAUACAUUCUUCUUUUGCAUGCAUAUAUUUUUACUCUCUCACACACAUACAUUCUCCUUUCACAUACAUAUAUUUUACUCUCGGUCACAUAUAUACAUUCUCCUUUCACAUACAUACAUUUCUACUCUUACACACAUACAUUCCCCUUUUACAUACAUACACUUCUACUUUUUCACACACAUACAUUCUCCUUUCACGUACAUAUAUUUUUACUCUCUCUCACAUAGACAAAUUCUUCUUUUACAUACAUAUAUAUUUCUACUCUCACACACAUACAUUCUCCUUACACAUGCUUUUUCUGUUGGCAUCCAUGACUUCCUCUUUUAGCAGGAGGUCACUCUUAGACCAGGAAAUACAUGUGCAAGAAUUGAUCAGCUCUUCCUCACAACUUAACAUGAUGCUAUUUAAAGUCAUCCUGUUUUCUUUUCAAGUACACUUUUGGUAAAAAUUAGCAAUGAUCAUGACAUCAGACAAUUUUUUUAUAAUGUGCUGUAAUGUACUGAACAAAUGCAAACGAUAGCAGAUGAUUCUUUAGGGCAUGAUAGGCUGGCAUAGAGAACUUUGUGAUCAUGCAGACUGUUGGGACUAAAUCAUACAAAUAAAGAAAAGGUAAUUUGGGGAAAUAAUUGUCAAAGACAUGUAUUAUAAUGGCAACAGAAAAGGUAACUAAUGAAUA